UUCCUACGGGGGGCAGCAGUGGGGAAUAUUGCACAAUGGGGGGAACCCUGAUGCAGCGACGCCGCGUGAGUGAAGAAGUAUUUCGGUAUGUAAAGCUCUAUCAGCAGGGAAGAAAAUGACGGUACCUGACUAAGAAGCCCCGGCUAACUACGUGCCAGCAGCCGCGGUAAUACGUAGGGGGCAAGCGUUAUCCGGAUUUACUGGGUGUAAAGGGAGCGUAGACGGCCAUGCAAGCCUGGAGUGAAAGCCCGGGGCCCAACCCCGGG
rnacentral:rRNA from 1 species